rnacentral:rRNA from 1 species
AGAGUUUGAUCAUGGCUCAGGAUGAACGCUAGCGGCAGGCUUAACACAUGCAAGUCGAGGGGCAGCACGGGUAGCAAUACCUGGUGGCGACCGGCAAACGGGUGCGGAACGCGUACAGAAUCUACCUCGAUCUGGGGCAUAGCCCGAAGAAAUUCGGAUUAACUCCCCAUAACAUAUAUGAGUGGCAUCACUCGAAUAUUAAAAAUUUAUUGGAUCGAGAUGACUGUGCGUCCCAUUAGCUAGUUGGUAGGGUAACGGCCUACCAAGGCGACGAUGGGUAGCUGGUGUGAGAGCACGACCAGCCACACGGGCACUGAGACACGGGCCCGACUCCUACGGGAGGCAGCAGUGAGGAAUAUUGGUCAAUGGACGCAAGUCUGAACCAGCCAUGCCGCGUGAAGGAUGAAGGCCUUCUGGGUUGUAAACUUCUUUUAUCUGGGAAGAAAAUUACGGUUUCUACUGUAACCGACGGUACCAGAGGAAUAAGCACCGGCUAACUCCGUGCCAGCAGCCGCGGUAAUACGGAGGGUGCAAGCGUUAUCCGGAUUUACUGGGUUUAAAGGGUGUGUAGGCGGGUCUUUAAGUCAGUGGUGAAAUCUCCGAGCUUAACUUGGAAACUGCCAUUGAUACUAUUGAUCUUGAAUUCUGUUGAGGUGGGCGGAAUAUGUCAUGUAGCGGUGAAAUGCAUAGAUAUGACAUAGAACACCAAUUGCGAAGGCAGCUCACUAAGCAGAUAUUGACGCUGAGGCACGAAAGCGUGGGGAUCAAACAGGAUUAGAUACCCUAGUAGUCC